rfam:Aedes albopictus isolate Foshan contig66333, whole genome shotgun sequence.
UGUUCUGUGGCUUAGUUGGUUAAAGCUCCGGUCUAGCGAAUACGGAAUCGGGGGUUUGAAUCCCACCAAAACGC